rnacentral:rRNA from 1 species
AUUGAACGCUGGCGGCAGGCCUAACACAUGCAAGUCGAGCGGAUGAAGCGAGCUUGCUCGUGGAUUCAGCGGCGGACGGGUGAGUAAUGCCUAGGAAUCUGCCUGGUAGCGGGGGAUAACGUCCGGAAACGGGCGCUAAUACCGCAUACGUCCUUAGGGAGAAAGUGGGGGAUCUUCGGACCUCACGCUAUCAGAUGAGGCUAGGUCGGAUUAGCUAGUUGGUGGGGUAAAGGCCUAACAAGGCGACGAUCCGUAACUGGUCUGAGAGGAUGAUCAGUCACCCUGGAACUGAGAAACGGUACAGACUCCUACGGGGGGAAGCAGUGGGGAAUAUUGGAGGAUGGGGGAAAGCCUGAUCCAGCACUGCCGCGGGUGUGAAGAAGGUCUUCGGAUUGGAGAGCAAUUUAGGUUGGAAGGAAGGGCAGUAAGUUAAUACCUCGCUGUUUUGACGUUACCAACAGAAUAAGCACCGGCUAACUUCGUG